AAUUUUAGGGACUGCGGUGUGGGUCAGGUCGUCUGUGGCCAUCCCACGCAAGAGGAUUAAGCGCAGAAUAAACGUGUAGAAAGCCUUCGGGCUCCGAGUUUGGACGCGGGUUCGACUCCCGCCGCCUCCACUU
rnacentral:tmRNA from 1 species